rnacentral:rRNA from 1 species
AAACUCAAAGGAAUUGACGGGGGCCCGCACAAGCGGAGGAACAUGUGGUUUAAUUCGAUGAUACGCGAGGAACCUUACCCGGGCUUGAAAGUUAAUGAUGAUUCUGGAAACAGGAUUUCCCUUCGGGGCAUGAAACUAGGUGCUGCAUGGUUGUCGUCAGCUCGUGCCGUGAGGUGUCGGAUUAAGUUCCAUAACGAGCGCAACCCCUACCGUUAGUUGCCAUCAGGUAAAGCUGGGGACUCUAAUGGGACUGCCGGUGUAAGCCGAGAGGAAGGUGGGGAUGACGUCAAAUCAGCACGGCCCUUACGUCCGGGGCGACACACGUGUUACAAUGGUCGGUACAGAGGGCAGCUACCCAGCGAUGGGAUGCGAAUCUCGAAAGCCGAUCUCAGUUCGGAUUGCAGGCUGAAACCCGCCUGCAUGAAGUUGGAUUCGCUAGUAAUCGCGCAUCAGCCAUGGCGCGGUGAAUACGUUCCCGGGCCUUGUACACACCGCCCGUC